CCUACGGGUGGCAGCAGUGGGGAAUAUUGGGCAAUGGGCGCAAGCCUGACCCAGCAACGCCGCGUGAAGGAAGAAGGCUCUCGGGUUGUUAACUCUCUUUUAGAGGGAAGAGCAGAAGACGGUACCUCUUGAAUAAGCCACGGCUAACUACGUGCCAGCAGCCGCGGUAAUACGUAGGUGGCAAGCGUUGACCGGAUUUACUGGGUGUAAAGGGCGUGUAGCGGGGCUGACAAGUCAGGUGUGAAAUUCAGGUGCUCAAUCCCGGACCUGCAUUUGAACCUGUUGGUCUUGAGUAUCGGAGAGGCAGGCGGAAUUCGUGGUGUAGCGGUGAAAUGCGUAGAUAUUAGGAGGAACACCAGUGGCGAAGGCAGCAUGCUGGACGACAACUGACGGUGAGGCGCGAAAGCGUGGGGAGCAAACAGGAUUAGAUACCCGUGUAGUC
rnacentral:rRNA from 1 species